GGAAUAUUGCGCAAUGGGCGAAAGCCUGACGCAGCAACGCCGCGUGAGUGAUGAAGGCCUUCGGGUCGUAGAGCUCUGUCGGAGGGAACGAAUGUUCCCGAGGUUAACAGCCUCGGGAUGUGACGGUACCCUCAAAGGAAGCACCGGCUAACUCCGUGCCAGCAGCCGCGGUAAUACGGAGGGUGCGAGCGUUGUCCGGAAUCACUGGGCGUAAAGGGCGCGUAGGCGGCCUGAUAAGUAGGGGGUGAAAUCCUGCGGCUUAACCGCAGGGCUGCCUUCUAAACUGUCAGGCUGGAGCACAGUAGAGGCAGGUGGAAUUCCCGGUGUAGCGGUGGAAUGCGUAGAGAUCGGGAAGAACAUCAGUGGCGAAGGCGGCCUGCUGGGCUGUUGCUGACGCUGAGGCGCGACAGCGUGGGGAGCAAA
rnacentral:rRNA from 1 species